rnacentral:rRNA from 1 species
UCGGUGACUUUGAAUGAGGAUAAAGAUGAGAUAAAAUGGUCUUUGACCAAAAAUGGAGUAUAUACUGUAAAAUCCUUCUACAGGCAUCUGAUUGAAAAUGGUGUUAAAUAUCCACACAUAUAUAUGUGGAGGAUUAAAAUGCCACCCACAAUCAAGGUGUUCGUGUGGUUGGCUCUUAGAAAAAGUAUUCUUACAAAAGAUAAUUUGCUUCGUAGGGGGUGGAAAGGAGAUGAUAAAUGUCAUUUUUGUGGACGUAAAGAAAAUAUAAAUCAUCUUUUUAUGUCAUGUUCAGUUGCUAGAUUAUUGUGGAACAUCUUAAAAUGUGCUUUCAAUCUAAGCGACAUUCCAGAAACUCUGGAUGCAAUUAUGAAAACUUGGGUAAAUACAUUUGGAAAAGAUGAAAAAAGUUUGGUCAUGAUAGGUAUUUCAGCGAUUUGCUGGACUAUCUGGAAGUUAAGAAACAAUAUUAUUUUUGACAACAAUAGAGUGAAUGAUCCCUGUGUACCUGUUAACCUGUUUCUCAAAAAUUUAAAUGAUUGGAAUAUUUUGCAGACAAAUCCCGCAAGAAGUAAGAUGAUGGAGGCUGGAGUGAAGCAAGUAAGUGAGGUGGCGGAAGAGGUGUUCAAAGCAGCUCAUGGGUGGCGCCUGAAGACUGGGAGAAUCCAGGGGUGA